rnacentral:rRNA from 1 species
UACGGGGGGAGCAAGCGUUGUUCGGAUUUACUGGGCGUAAAGGGCGGGUAGGCGGCCACCGCAAGUCGACUGUGAAAUCUCCGGGCUUAACCCGGAAAGGUCAGCCGAUACUGCGGGCUAGAGUGCAGAAGGGGCAACUGGAAUUCUCGGUGUAGCGGUGAAAUGCGUAGAUAUCGAGAGGAACACCUGCGGCGAAGGCGGGUUGCUGGGCUGACACUGACGCUGAACUGCGAAAGCUAGGGGAGCGAACGGG